GAUCUGUAGGAGGCAAAAGUACGGGGAAUAUUGGAAAUUUGGAAAAUAGCGCCGGUGACAUCAACAGCGCCUUUCUGAAAAGUUGAAAGGUUUUGAGUGAAAAAAAGUGUCGCGCAAACAGAAAACCCUAACCCUACCCUUUAGAGGAUGCAGGCUCUACUUUUUUUGUAGUUGCAGAGAUCAGGCUGAUGCUUCCAGGACAUCGGGUUUUAUUUUUGAUGAUAAUGUCAUUUUUUUAAUUUUGACUUUUAAUGCGGUGUAAAACAUUCAGACAGCAGAGGGCGCCAUUGACCAGCUGCAGCAGAUAGUUAAAAGUAACUUGCAUGACCUUUGGGUCUUUCAGAUUUUAAGGGUUAUUUUAAAGAUUCUGCAGGAAGUAAAAAAAAAAGAAUAAUGCUAAGGUUGGACCUCAAACUGAUGCGACUCGUAUCAUGUCAGAGGAUCCAUUUUGAUAUUGGUAUAAUGAAUAACUGGAUUUUUUUUUAGUCAAAUAAUUUUAUAAUCAUGUUGUUCCCAACGUGUCUUAUUUUGUCUUUCUUGGCAGGAAUGGGCUUCCGUAUGUCUCGGCUCCGUCUGAAGGUUUUUUUCCUCAAAGUCUGUCACGUAACGCUCGGUGUAUUCAGGUAGUGUGUAGAUGAAGCUCAGCACAUUUAACACAUUUUAGAGAAGCACGCAGUGGAGCUUUUUUCUAUGAUGGGGGGGGGGGGUCACUAUUUUUAAACCGACUGUCUGUUAGAGGGAAGUUUCUGCUCCGCAUGCUUUUUACCAAACAGCAGAAGAGUCGCUUAAAGCAAUAGAGCACAUGGAACGACUUGUUUUAUUGAUGAUGCCACUUUGUGUGUGCGCGCCCGUGUGUGUGUGUGUGUUUGUAGUUUCAAUCUGCAGGUGAGGAUGUGAGCAUGCUCAGUAGACACGAUGCAAUGAUGUGUAUGUUGUUUUCUACACGUGAGGCUCAGACGUGUGUGUGUGACCGCUCUGAUCAAGGUCAUCCUGCAGCGUGUGUGAGAGUCAGACGUGUGUGCGCGCUCUGCUCGGGGCCAUCCUGCAGCGUGUGUGUGUGUCAGACGUGUGUGCGCGCUCUGCUGCUUGGGGUCAUCCUGCAGCAUGUGUGUGUGCGCGCUCUGCUCGGGGUCAUCCUGCAGCGUGUGUGUGAGUCAGACGUGGGGGAGCGGGGUGUUUGGGAAGGUGGGUGUACAUUAUUUAAACCACUGUUCUCCUUGUAGUGUGAGGCUGAUGUAUGUUUUCUGCUAUUUGACAAUGAAUUACUCUGCACUUAA